rnacentral:tRNA from 1 species
GGAGAGAUGGCUCAAUGGUUAAGAGCGCUGACUGCUGUUCCAGAGGUCCUGAGUUCAAUUCCCAGCAACUACA